rnacentral:rRNA from 1 species
AGCGAACGCUGGCGGCAGGCUUAACACAUGCAAGUCGAGCGAGACCUUCGGGUCUAGCGGCGGACGGGUGAGUAACGCGUGGGAACGUGCCCUUCUCUACGGAAUAGCCCCGGGAAACUGGGAGUAAUACCGUAUACGCCCUUUGGGGGAAAGAUUUAUCGGAGAAGGAUCGGCCCGCGUUGGAUUAGGUAGUUGGUGGGGUAAUGGCCCACCAAGCCGACGAUCCAUAGCUGGUUUGAGAGGAUGAUCAGCCACACUGGGACUGAGACACGGCCCAGACUCCUACGGGAGGCAGCAGUGGGGAAUCUUAGACAAUGGGGGCAACCCUGAUCUAGCCAUGCCGCGUGAGUGAUGAAGGCCUUAGGGUUGUAAAGCUCUUUCAGCUGGGAAGAUAAUGACGGUACCAGCAGAAGAAGCCCCGGCUAACUCCGUG